rnacentral:antisense_RNA from 1 species
CUUCAGCGAGCCGAGCCGCAGCGGCCGUUCGCCGUCGCGUUCCCGGCCGUAGGAGGCGAGGAGCGCCUGGGCCUC